AAAUUGAAGAGUUUGAUCAUGGCUCAGAUUGAACGCUGGCGGCAGGCCUAACACAUGCAAGUCGAACGGUAACAGGAAACAGCUUGCUGUUUCGCUGACGAGUGGCGGACGGGUGAGUAAUGUCUGGGAAACUGCCCGAUGGAGGGGGAUAACUACUGGAAACGGUAGCUAAUACCGCAUAACGUCGCAAGACCAAAGAGGGGGACCUUCGAGCCUCUUG
rnacentral:rRNA from 1 species